rnacentral:lncRNA from 1 species
CCAAGGUACAGGAUGGCAGGCAGGCUCAGGUCAAGCAGAGGUCAACAGUCCAGAGCAGGGGCCAAGGUACAGGACGGCAGGCAGGCUCAGGUCAAGCAGAGGUCAGCAGUCCAGAGCAGGGGCCAAGGUACAGGACGGCAGGCAGGCUCAGGACAGGCAAGGGUCAAAACCAGGAGGACGAGGGAAAAAGAGAGACUGAGGAAAAGCGCUGGUUGACUUAAACAAACAAGACGAACUGGCACAGAUAGACAGAAAACACAGGUAUAAAUACACAGGGGAUAAGUGGGUAAGAUGGGUGACACCUGGAGGGGGAUGGAGACAAGCACAAAGACAGGUGAAACAGAUCAGGGUGUGACAGUAUCCUUACUCCCUUAGAGUUAAUUAGUCCUCUCUCUCUAGCCUUGUCAGGUACAGUCAUACUCCAAACUGUUCACUGAAGAGAAUUUAAACUGUUUCAUCUCUUUUCAGUUAUUUUUGGAUUAGUGUGGCUAGUGAGUUUACACUGAGUGUACAAAACAUUAGGAACACCUGCUCUUUCAAUGAGACUGACCAGGUUAAAGAUAUGAUCCCUUAUUGAUGUCACUUGUUAAAUCCACUUCAAUCAGUGUAGAUGAAGGGGAGGAGACGGGUUAAAGAAGGAUUUUUAAGCCUUGAGACGUGAGACAUGGAUUGUGUAUGUGUGCCAUUCAGAGGGUGAAUGGGAAAGACCAAAUAUUUAAGUGCCUUUGAACAGGGUAUGGUAGUAGGUGUCAGGUGCACCAGUUUGUGUCAAGAACUGCAACACUGCUGGGUUUUUCACGCUCAACAGUUUCAAUCAAUCAAUCAAUCAAUCAAUCAAAUGUAUUUAUAGAGCCCUUUUUACAACAGCAGUUGUCACAAAGUGCUUAUACAGAAACAGGCAUAAAACCCCAGAGAGCAACCAAUGCAGGUGUAGAAGCACGGUGGCUAGGAAAAACUCCCUAGAAAGGCUGGAACCUAAGAAGAAACCUAGAGAGGAACCAGGCUCUGAGGGGGUGGCCAGUCCUCUUCUGGCUGUGCCGGGUGGAGAUUAUAACAGAACAUGGCCAUUUAAGGCCAGAUUGUUCUUCAAGAUUUUCAAACGUUCAUAGAAGACCAGCAGGGUCAAAUAAUAAUCAGUGAUUUUAGAGGGUGCGAGAGGUCAGCACCUUAGGAGUUAAUGUCAGUUGGCUUUUCAUAGCCGAGCAUCCAGAGGCCGAGACAGCAUGUGCAGGGGGGGGUCUAGUGAACAGGUCAGGGUUCCAUAGCCGCAGGCAGAACAGUAGAAAAUGGAGCAGCAGCACGACCAGGUGGACUAGGGACGGGGACAGCCAGGAGUCGUCAUGCCAGGAAGUCCUGAGGCAUGUUCCUAAGGCUCAGGUCCUCCGGGAGGGGAGAGAGAGAGAUGGGAGAAUUAGAGAGAGCAUACUUGCGUUCAUACAGGACACCAGAGAUUUACACCAGAAAAGACAGAAGAUUUACACCGGAUAAGACAGGAGAUUUACACCAGUUAUGAGACUGAACCUAGCCCCCCCCCCCAGCACAUAGACUAUUGCAGCAUAGAUACUGGAGACUGUAUCAAGAAUGGUCCACCACCCAAAGGACAUCCAGCCAUGUUGACAUGACUGUGGGAAGCAAUGGAGUGAACAUGGGCCAUCAUCCUUGUGGAACGCCUUCGACACCUUGUAGAAUUGAGGCUGUUCUGAGGGCAAAAGGGGGGUGCAACUCAAUAUUAGGAAGGUGUUCCUAAUGUUUUGUACACUGUUGUCAUCAUUCGAAAGACUUGCUUUCCACCCACAUGAGAUACCAUAUUUCUGUCAAUAUCCCAUUUUCUCUCUCAUAUUUUCUACUGCAUUACAGUACAGUCCAUGUUACAGUACAGUCCAUGUUACAGUACAGUACAGUCCAUGUUACAGUCCAUGUUACAGUACAGUCCAUGUUACAGUCCAUGUUACAGUUCAUUACAUGUUACAGUCCAUGUUACACCACAGUCCAUGUUACAGUCCAUGUUACACUACAGUCCAUGUUACACUACAGUCCAUGUUACACUUCAGUCCAUGUUACAGUACAGUCCAUGUUACAGUCCAUGUUACACUACAGUCCAUGUUACAGUAUAGUCCAUGUUACAGCCCAUGUUACACUACAGUCCAUGUUACAGUCCAUGUUACAGUACAGUCCAUGUUACACUACAGUCCAUGUUACAGUCCAUGUUACACUACAGUCCAUGUUACAGUCCAUGUUACACUACAGUCCAUGUUACACUUCAGUCCAUGUUACAGUACAGUCCAUGUUACAGUCCAUGUUACACUACAGUCCAUGUUACACUACAGUCCAUAUUACACUACAGUCCAUGUUACACUACAGUCCAUGUUACACUACAGUCCAUGUUACAGUCCAUGUUACACUACAGUCCAUGUUACACUUCAGUCCAUGUUACAGUACAGUCCAUGUUACAGUCCAUGUUACACUACAGUCCAUGUUACACUACAGUCCAUGUUACACUACAGUCCAUGUUACAGUCCAUGUUACAGUCCAUGUUACACUACAGUCCAUGUUACACUACAGUCCAUGUUACACUACAGUCCAUGUUACAGUCCAUGUUACAGUAUAUAAUAACAGUCACAGCAGACUCUGGCAACAUCCCAAAUGGCGCCUUAUUCCCUAUAUAGUGCACUACCUUUGAUCAGAGCCCUACACUACAUAGGGAAUAGGGUGCUAUUUGGGACGCGACAUCUCUUACUCUAUGGGUGAAUAACAGUCUCCGUUAAGCCCUGCGUUAAAAUGUUCUCAUGUUGAGGACCACUAUGGUGGAUUUAUAGGUGAUGGUUCUCCUGUUGAGGACCACUAUGGUGGAUUUAUUGAUGAUGGUUGAGGACCACUAUGGUGGAUUUAUAGGUGAUGGUUGAGGACCACUAUGGUGGAUUUAUAGGUUAUGGUUCUGUUGAGGACCACUAUGGUGGAUUUAUAGGUGAUGGUUGAGGACCACUAUGGUGGAUUUAUAGGUGAUGGUUCUCCUGUUGAGGACCACUAUGGUGGAUUUAUAGGUGAUGGUUCUCCUGUUGAGGACCACUAUGGUGGAUGUAUAGGUGAUAGUUGAGGACCACUAUGGGGGAUGUAUAGGUGAUGGUUGAGGACCACUAUGGUGGAUUUAUAGGUGAUGGUUCUCCUGUUGAGGACCACUAUGGUGGAUUUAUAGGUGAUGGUUCUCCUGUUGAGGACUACUAUGGUGGAUGUAUAGGUGAUGGUUCUCCUGUAUACAUUAGAUAUCUGAUGCCUAUACUGUACCAUUCUGCCCUCCAUGGAACUAAUCAUACGUUAGUAGUGUACGUCCCUGCUGGCACUGAUCAGUGCUGGUUGGUUUCCCCCUCUAGUUAAAAUGGAGGCUGUGUGUUAACGCCUAGAGGGGAUAGUCCAGAAGCACUAGUGUUUUCUGACUGAACAGAGAGGAAAUAGAUCCUCCCUCUAGCUCAGCCCGUCUGAGUCGUCUUUUGGUUUUGUUUUCCUGUUUGAUAAGUGAAAGGACCGGGUCAGAAUCAGGAAUGUUAAGAAAGAGGACAUUUGACGGUAGUGGUGCUAUCGGGGCAGCUCCACUGUAUAGUACAAAUAGUUAAUGAAUGGCUCCCUGUGUUUCUUUUGGGUCAAUUUGAAUAUGUGCUUUUAAUUGGUCUCUGUAGGUCUCUGUCUUCUCUCUCUCUCUCUCUCUCUCUCUCUCUCUCUCUCUCUCUCUCUCUCUCUCUCUCUCUCUCUCUCUGUCUCUGUCUCUGUCUCUGUGUCUGUGUCUCUCUCUCUGUCUUCUUUCUUUCUCCUUGUCUCUUCCCUCUCUCUCUCUCUCUCUCUCUCUCUCACCAUGACUGACUAGCUUCUCUUUCACUCACUCACUCACUCACUCACUCACUCACUCACUCACUCACUCACUCACUCACUCACUCACUCACUCACUCACUCACUCACUCACUCACUCACUCACUCACUCACUCACCACGACUGACUAGCUGCUCUCUCUCUUUCACCAAGACACACACACACACACACACACACACACACACACACACACACACACACAUACAUACAUACAGGUGUAUGGUGCCAGUCUGAUGUAAUGUCAAGCAAUGGAGCAGUGAUAGACACCAAUUAUCAUCCUAGUUAUUCAUUAUUUUCUGUCUUACAACUUAAUACUCUUUUAAUUGAAUGUCUAUUAAUUGAUGUGCUCCUGAGUCCAUACUUGGUAAUAUAAUCCACCAAGGAGAUGUCAAAGACAAAAGUCUUUAUUAUCUUAAGGAGAGGAGUCUACUGAGAUGUUAAAGUCCCCUGCUCAGUCGGUGUAUCUCGUUAUAAAACGGACAUCCUGUCAAAUGAAAAUGACAACGUAUCAUCAUCCGUAUUAAAAAGGGGUAAAGGAAUUGCUAUUAAAUAAUGAACUCAGCCGUGCUCUUGUUGUAAUGUCAGCCUGCUUAUAUAGGGGGUGUGAUUAUGGUAUUUUAUGAAGCGUCUUCUCAACGAGGAGUAAAAACCAAGCUUCAAGGUUAAAUGUGUGAAGGCCAAGCGUUUGGAGGGUGAGGCGGUGCGAGGGGAGGGUUGAUAAAUUUCACAUCCCGUAAUGUGAUUUGCGAUAUCUCCUCUUCUCCUGCCCUUGGUAGUGGGAGAUGUGGCGAGGUAUUAUUAACGACGCUCUGCCGUGUAAGUGUUUACAGAAAUAUUAAACAGAAUCGAUGAGAGAAGGUGUGGAUGAUUACAAAUUCACCAUCAUUCCAGCUUCCCAGCUUGAUGUUUCGUUACUGAAUACAAAUUCACUGGUUAAACCACUGGUGUGCAGUAGUAAAAAUGAGUGUAGAGAGACACCGCAAACACGUGAGGACCAGGAUGGGCGGUAGUUCCAGGAAGACAUCAGAGAGCAUAAUUCAUUCCAGGGCAUUCUAUAAGACCAGGGUGUGUGUGUGUGUGUGUGUGUGUGUGUGUGUGUGUGAGAAGGCUGUUCAUUGACUACAGCUCAGCGUUCAACACCAUAGUGCCCACGAAGCUCAUCACUAAAGUAAGGACCCUGAGACUAAACACCUCCCUCUGCAACUGGAUCCUGGACUUCCUGACGGGCCACCCCCAGGUGGUAAGAGUAGGCAACAACACGUCUGCCACGCUGAUCCUUAACACUGGAGCCCCUCAGGGGUGUGCACUUAGUCCCCUCCUGUAUUCCCUGUUUACCCACGACUGCGUGGCCAAACACGACUCCAACACCAUCAUUAAGUUUGCUGACGACACAAUAGUGGUAGGCCUGAUCACCGACAACGAUGAGACAGCCUAUAGCGAGGAGGUCAGAGACCUGGCAGUGUGGUGCCAGGACAACAACCUCUCCCUCAACGUGAGCAAGACAAAGGAGCUGAUCAUGGACUACAGGAAAAGGCGGGCCGAACAGGCCCCCAUUAACAUCGACGGGGCUGUAGUGGAGCGGGUCGAGAGUUUCAAGUUCCUUGGUGUCCACAUCACCAACAGACUAUCAUGGUCCAAACACACCAAGACAGUCGUGAAGAGGGCACAGCAAAACCUUUUCCCCCUCAGGAGACUGAAAAGAUUUGGCAUGGGUCCCUAGAUCAUCAAAAGUUUCUACAGUUGCACCAUCGAGAGCAUCCUGACCGGUUGCAUCACUGCCUGGUAUGGCAACUGCUCGGCAUCUGAGCAUAAGGCGCUACAGAGGGUAGUGCGAACGGCCUAGUACAUCACUGGGGCCAAGCUUCCUACCAUCCAGGACCUAUAUACCAGGCGGUGUCAGAGGAAGGCCCAUAAAAUUGUCAGAGACUCCAGUCACCCAAGUCAUAGACUGUUCUCUCUGCUACCGCACGGUAAGCGGUUCCGGAGCGCCAAGUCUAGGUCCGAGAGGCUUCUGAACAGCUUCUGCCCCCCCAAGCCAUAAGACUCCUGAACAGCUAAUCAAAUGGCUACCCUGACUAUUUGCAUUCCCCCCCCUCUCCUCCUGUUUUACACCACUGCUCCUCUCUGUUGUUAUCAUCUAUGCAUAGUCACUUUAAUACGUUUACAUACACCUUAGCCAAAUACAUUUAAACUCCGUUUUUCACAAUUCCUGACAUUUAAUCCUAGUAAAGAAUUCCCUGUUUUAGGUCAGUUAGGAUCACCACUUUAUUUUAAGAAUGGCUAGCUACUAGUACUGUUAGCUAGCCAGAUAGCCACAAAUAAUAGUUAGCUAGCCAGCUACCCACAAAGAAUUGGUAUCUACCUUGCAUAACGUUAGUUUUAGGUCAUAUAGUGUACAUAUACUGUAUCUAGCUGAUAGUUAUGAAGUAAUACGUUUGCUUUUUGUAUAUCUUGUUUGGUCUCUAUUGUUGUCAUUGUCCUGGCUGGAAGAAUGUUCAGUGAAUGGAGAGGUGCAGCGUGAGGUAAUACAGUAGGGGGGAGUGCUGCUCAGCGUGAGGUAAUAUAGUAGGGGGAGUGCUGCUCAGCGUGAGGUAAUACAGUAGGGGGAGUGCUGCUCAGCGUGAGGUAAUAUAGUAGGGGGAGUGCUGCUCAGCGUGAGGUAAUACAGUAGGGGGAGUGCUGCUCAGCGUGAGGUAAUACAGUAGGGGGAGUGCUGCUCAGCGUGAGGUAAUACAGUAGGCGGUGUGCUGCUCGUCGUGAGGUAAUACAGUAGAGGGAGUGCUGCUCGGCGUGAGGUAAUACAGUAGAGGGAGUGCUGCUCAGCGUGAGGUAAUACAGUAGAGGGAGUGCUGCUCGUUCUGAGGUAAUACAGUAGGGGGAGUGCUGCUCGGCGUAAGGUAAUACAGUAGGGGGAGUGCUGCUCGGCGUGAGGUAAUACAGUAUGGGGAGUGCUGCUCAGAGUGAGGUAAUACAGUAUGGGGAGUGCUGCUCAGUGUGAGGUAAUACAGUAGGGGGAGUGCUGCUCGGCGUGAGUUAAUACAAUAGGGGGAGUGCUGCUCAGCGUGGGGUAAUACAGUAGGGGGAGUCCUGCUCAGCGUGAGGUAAUACAGUAGGGAGAGUGCUGCUCAGCGUGAGGUAAUACAGUAGGGGGAGUGCUGCUCAGCGUGAGGUAAUACAGUAGGGGGAGUGCUGCUCAGCGUGAGGUAAUACAGUAGGGGGAGUGCUGCUCAGCGUGAGGUAAUACAGUAGAGGGAGUGCUGCUCAGCGUGAGGUAAUACAGUAGGGGGAGUGCUGCUCAGCGUGAGGUAAUACAGUAGGGGGAGUGCUGCUCAGAGUGAGGUAAUACAGUAUGGGGAGUGCUGCUCAGAGUGAGGUAAUACAGUAUGGGGAGUGCUGCUCGGCGUGAGGUAAUACAGUAGGGGGAGUCCUGCUCAGCGUGAGGUAAUACAGUAGGGGGAGUGCUGCUCAGCGUGAGGUAAUACAGUAGGGGGAGUGCUGCUCAGCGUGAGGUAAUACAGUAGGGGGAGUGCUGCUCAGCGUGAGAUAAUACAGUAGGGGGAGUGCUGCUCAGCGUGAGGUAAUACAGUAGGGGGAGUGCUGCUCAGCGUGAGGUAAUACAGUAGGGGGAGUGCUGCUCAGCGUGAGGUAAUACAGUAGGGGGAGUGCUGCUCAGCGUGAGAUAAUACAGUAGGGGGAGUGCUGCUCAAAUGGAAUGUUUUAUGUGCUCUCCACACUCUCAUCCUCAGAAGAAGGUACUCAAGAGAACGUACUCAGAGCAUGAGAGUGUGGAGCGUGGUAGUAUGCAUAUUGAGAAACAGACAGAGAUAGACACAGAGUGUGUGUGUGUGUGUGUGUGUGUGUUACUCUGCUCGACCGUCGUUGAUUACUCAUCUGAAUUAGCCAACAGACUACAGGUCACCUUCCUCAUUGACCGACAUGAUAGAUGAUACAACGUUAGUAGUCUGUAUGCCUGUGUGUCAGUGCAUGAUACUGUGUCCAGCACUGCAUGUCAGAGCUCAGUAAUCCAUGCUACGGUUCAGCUGUGUCCAUGAUGCAGUCUCUGUCUCACACACACACACACACACACACACACACACACACACACACACACACACACACACACACACACACACACACACACACACACUCUGUGUCUAUCUCUGGCUGUUUCUCAAUAUGCAUACUACCACGCUCCACACUCUCAUGCUCUGAGUCUGUCCGGCUCCAUAGGGUAGCACAGAGUGUGUGUGUGUGUGUGCGCGUGUGUGUACAGUAGGGAUGGGUUUUUGAAAUAAUUUCACUAUUCGAAUAGUAUCAUGAAUUUUUGUUGGAUACCUGAAAUACAUGUGUUUUUGUAAACAUACGAUUUUUAACCUGAGCACUGCUGCGCGAGGAAAUGAGGCUGGCGUUCGAUUGUUGCAGCUGUGGAGGGGAUGGUAUGUGAGAUGGGAGCGAGCAGACGGAGGGAGAGAGGGAGCAGUAGCCAAAGCAACUCGGCUACAGCCAAAACUAGAUAACUUGCAGCAGCCAACUAGCUAGCUAGGCUAUUUGAGGCUACAGCCAAGACUAGCUAACUUGCAACAGCCAACUAGCUAGCUAGGCUAAUUGAGGCUACAGCCAAGACUAGCUAACUUGCAGCAGCCAACUAGCUAGCUAGGCUAAUUGAGGCUACAGCCAAGACUAGCUUACUUGCAGCAGCCAACUAGCUAGCUAGGCUAAUUGAGGCUACAGACAAGACUAGCUAACUUGCAGCAGCCAACUAGCUAGCUAGGCUAAUUGAGGCUACAGCCAAGACUAGCUAACUUCCAGCAGCCAACUAGCUAGCUAGGCUAAUUGAGGCUACAUGCUGUGCUUUCUCCAUAACCCCAUUCAGAUAAAACCACAGCCUACCUCGUCGUAGUCUACUCCUUCUCAUUUCACUAACUUUUAAAUCAAUAAUUUAAUUACAUCUUGCAUUGUGUUAGAGAACUCUCACUCCUCUUGGUACACAUUGAGCCUCUUUGUCACUUUGAUUUGCCAACAUAAACAAGCUAUACACGUGACGGCUACAAGUCUUUGUUAGGGGGCGCAGGGCUCCCGAGUGGGGCAGUGGUCUAAGGCACUGCAUCUCAGUACUAGAGGCAUCACUACAGACACACCCUGGUUCGAAUCCAGGUUGUAUCACCACCGGCCGUGAUUGGGAGUCCCAUAGGGCGUCGUCCGGGUUUGACUGGUGUAGGCUGUCAUUGUAAAUAAGAAUUUGUUCUUAACUGACUUGCCUAGUUAAAUGAAGGUCAAAUAAAUAAAUAUAUACUGUAUUUAUAGUCCACAUAUUCUAAGUCAGAACAGUCCAGAGCAGUUAAUCUAGUCGGGCAGGCGGGUGUGGGCAGCGAUUGGUUCAAGAGCAUGCAUUUCGUUUUACUUGCAUUUAAGAGCAGUUGGAUACCACGGAAGGAGUGUUGUAUGGCAUUGAAGCUCGUUUGGAGGUUUGUUAGCACAGUGUCCAAAGAAGGGCCAGAUGUAUACAUUAUGGUGACGUCUGCGUAGAGGUGGAUCAAAGAAUCACCCGCACCAAGAGCGACAUCAUUGAUAUAUACAGAGAAGAGAGUCGGCCCGAGAAUUGAACCCUGUGGCACCCCCAUAGAGACUGCCAGAGGUCCAGACAACAGGCCCUCCGAUUUGACACACUGAACUCUGUCUGAGAAGUAGAUAUGAACCACGUGAGGCAGUCAUUUGAGACACCAAGGCUGUUGAGUCUCCUGCUAAGAGUACAGUGAUUGAUAGAGUCGAAAGCCUUGGCCAGGUCGAUGAAGACAGCUGCACAGUACUGUCUUUUAUCGAUGGCGGUUAUGAUAAGGUUUAGGACCUUGAGUAUGGCUGAGGUGCACCCGUGACCAGCUCGGAAACCAGAUUGCAUAGCGGAGAAGGUACGAUGGGAUUCGAAAUGGUCGGUGAUCUGUUUGUUCACUUGGCUUUCGAAGACAUUUGAAAGGCAGGGCAGGAUGAAUAUAGGUCUGUAACAGUUUGGGUCUAGAGUGUCUCCCCUUUGAAGAGGGGGAUGACCGCGGCCGCUUUCCAAUCUUUAUGAAUCUCAGACGGUACGAAAGAGAGGUUGAACAGACUAGUAAUAGGGGUUGCAACAAUGGCGGCGGAUACUUUUAGGAAGAGAGGGUCCAGAUUGUCUAGCCCAGCUGAUUUUUAGGGGUCCAGGUUUUACAGCUCUUUAAGAACAUUUGCUAUCUGGAUUUGGGUGAAGGAGAAGCAGGGGGGGCUUGGGCCAGUAGCUACGGGGGAUGCAGGGCUGUUGGCCGGGGUUGGGGUAGCCAGGUGGAAAGCAUGGCCAGCCGUAGAGAAAUGCUUAUUGAAAUUCUCAAUUAUCAUGGAUUUAUCAGUGGUGACAGUGUUUCCUAUCCUCAGUGCAGUGGGCAGCUGGGAGGAGGUGCUCUUAUGCUCCAUGGACUUUACAGUGUCCCAAAACUUUUGGGAAUUAGUGCUGCAGGAUGCAAAUUUCUGUUUGGAAAAGCUAGCCUUUGCUUUCCUAACUGACUGUGUGUAUUGGUUCCUGACUUCCCUGAAAAGUUUAAUAUUGCGGGGACUAUUAGAAGCUAGUGCAGUACGCCACAGGAUGUUUUUGUGCUGGUGAAGGGCAGUCAAGUCUGGAGUGAACUAAGGGCUAUAUCUGUUCUUAGUUCUACAUUUUUGCUUAUUUAAGAUGGUGAGGAAAGCACUUUUAAAGAACAACCAGGCAUCCUCAACUGACGGGAUGAGGUCAAUAUCCAGUUUGAUUAGAAAGGCCUUCUCGCUGAAUUAUUUUAGGGAGCGUUUGACAGUGAUGAGGGGUGGUCGUUUGACCGCGGACCCAUAACGGAUGCAGGCAAUGAGGGAGUGAUCACUGAGAUCCUGGUUGAAAACAGCAGAGGUGUAUUUAGAGGGCAAGUUGGUCAGGAUGAUAUCUAUGAGGGUGCCCAUGGUUUCGGAUUUGGGGUUGUACCUGGUGGGUUCCUUGAUAAUUUGUGUGAGAUUGAGGGCAUCUAGUUUAGAUUGUAGGAUGGCUGGGGUGUUAAGCAUAUCCCAAUUUAGGUCACCUAGCAGUACGAAUUCUGACGAUAGAUGAGGGGGCAAUCAAUUCACAAAUGGUGUCCAGGGCACAGCUGGGAGCUGAGGCGGGUCUAUAACAAGCGGCAACAGUGAGGGACUUAUUUCUGGAGAGAUGGAUCUUUAAAAGUAGAAGCUCGAACUGUUUGGGCAUAGACCUGGAUAGUAUGACAGAACUCUGCAGGCUAUCUCUGCAGUAGAUUGCAACUCCACCCCCUUUAGCAGUUCUGUCUUGACGGAAAAUGUUGUAAUUGGGGAUGGAAAUUUGAGGAUUUUAGGUUGCCUUCCUAAGCCAGGAUUCCGAAACGUUUAGGACAUCAGGGUUGGCAGAGUGUGCUAAAGCAGUGAAUAAAACAAACUUAGGGAGGAGACUUCUGAUGUUAACAUGCAUGAACCCAAGGCUUAAACUCCAGAGGUGAGGUCUAAUGGCAGCAGAACUACAGUAAACCCCAGAGGUGAGGUCUAAUGGCAGCAGAACUACAGUAAACCCCAGAGGGGAGGUCUAAUGGCAGCAGAACUACAGUAAACCCCAGAGGUGAGGUCUAAUGGCAGCAGAACUACAGUAAACCCCAGAGGUGAGGUCUAAUGGCAGCAGAACUACAGUAAACCCCAGAGGGGAGAUCUAAUGGCAGCAGAAAUACAGUAAACCCCAGAGGUGAGGUCUAAUGGCAGCAGAACUACAGUAAACCCCAGAGGUGAGGUCUAAUGGCAGCAGAACUACAGUAAACCCCAGAGGGGAGGUCUAAUGGCAGCAGAACUACAGUAAACCCCAGAGGUGAGGUCUAAUGGCAGCAGAACUACAGUAAACCCCAGAGGUGAGGUCUCAUGGCAGCAGAACUACAGUAAACCCCAGAG